rnacentral:rRNA from 1 species
GAUGAACGCUAGCUACAGGCUUAACACAUGCAAGUCGAGGGACCGGCGCACGGGUGAGUCAUGUCUGGGAAACUGCCUGAUGGAGGGGGAUAACUACUGGAAACGGUAGCUAAUACCGCAUACCAUCAGAUGUUCCCAGAUGGGAUUAGGUAGUAGGUGGGGUAACGGCUCACCUAGGCGACGAUCCCUAGCUGGUCUGAGAGGAUGACCAGCCACACUGGAACUGAGACACGGUCCAGACUCCUACGGGAGGCAGCAGUGGGGAAUAUUGCACAAUGGGCGCAAGCCUGAUGCAGCCAUGCCGCGUGUGUGAAGAAGGCCUUCGGGUUGUAAAGCACUUUUGGCAGGAAAGCGGUACCUGCAGAAUAAGCACCGGCUAACUACGUGCCAGCAGCCGCGGUAAUUC